ACUCCUGCGGGAGGCAGCAGUGGGGAAUAUUGGACAAUGGGCGCAAGCCUGAUCCAGCCAUGCCGCGUGAGUGAUGAAGGCCCUAGGGUUGUAAAGCUCUUUCACCGGUGAAGAUAAUGACGGUAACCGGAGAAGAAGCCCCGGCUAACUUCGUGCCAGCAGCCGCGGUAAUACGAAGGGGGCUAGCGUUGUUCGGAUUUACUGGGCGUAAAGCGCACGUAGGCGGACUAUUAAGUCAGGGGUGAAAUCCCGGGGCUCAACCCCGGAACUGCCUUUGAUACUGGUAGUCUUGAGUGCGAGAGAGGUGAGUGGAAUUCCGAGUGUAGAGGUGAAAUUCGUAGAUAUUCGGAGGAACACCAGUGGCGAAGGCGGCUCACUGGCUCGAUACUGACGCUGAGGUGCGAAAGCGUGGGGAGCAAACAGGAUUAGAAACCCCUGUAGUCCCA
rnacentral:rRNA from 1 species